AACGAACGCUGGCGGCAUGCCUAACACAUGCAAGUCGAACGAGACCUUCGGGUCUAGUGGCGCACGGGUGCGUAACGCGUGGGAAUCUGCCCUUGGGUGCGGAAUAACAGUUAGAAAUAACUGCUAAUACCGCAUAAUGACUCCGGUCCAAAGAUUUAUCGCCCAAGGAUGAGCCCGCGUCGGAUUAGCUAGUUGGUGAGGUAAGAGCUCACCAAGGCGACGAUCCGUAGCUGGUCUGAGAGGAUGAUCAGCCACACUGGGACUGAGACACGGCCCAGACUCCUACGGGAGGCAGCGGUGAGGAAUAUUGGACAAUGGGCGAAAGCCUGAUCCAGCAGUGCCGCGUGAGUGAUGAAGGCCUUAGGGUUGUAAAGCUCUUUUACCCGGGAUGAUAAUGACAGUACCGGGAGAAUAAGCCCCGGCUAACUCCGUGCCAGCCGCCGCGGUAA
rnacentral:rRNA from 1 species